GGCUCUGAGCCAUCAGCCCGGAGCCCGACGCGGGGCUCGAACUCGCGGACCGCGAGAUCAUGACCUGGCUGAAGUCGGACGCUUAACCGACUGCGCCACCCAGGCGCCCCAGAAAACAGAUUUUUAAGGUUUCAGAUGAAAGUGCAAUAAUAUAGUAAACUGUAAGAAUAUAGAUCAUAAGGAAAAAAUAAAUUUGGCCACGUUUUAGUGAAUACUUUAUUGUAACCAACCAUUUUUAUUAACCACAUCUCAUUAAGGAAAUUUUAUAUGUUUUGUUGUUUUUAUUAAUAUUUUGUUUUCCAUCCAGAUUGAAGAUUACUAAUUUGACUGUUAGCAAAUAAACUGAACAAAUGAAUCCUUUCAGCCAGAUUUUCUUUCAAUCGCAAAGUGUGCCUUAGCAGUAAUCUUUGAGCAUCCUGAAAGAUUUGAAAGAUUUCUUAUUUUUUGGAAUUUUUUUUUUUAAGUAAUCUCUGUGCCCAACGUGGGGCUUGAACUCAUGACCCCAAGGUCAAGAGUUGUGUACUCCACCGACUGAACCAGUAAGGUGCUCCCUGAGCCAGACUUUUUAGCCCAAUUCUGUAAAUAAUAACAAGGACAAAGAGCCAUCCGAAUAGCUUCUCCCACCAGAAGCCAUCAGAUUUCUUCAGUGUAGAAACCACAGUGAAAAGUCAGGAUUGGAUUUCUUUUUAAUUCUUUAGUUAUACACAGUUUACACGAGCAGUACUCAAAUUCCUUGGUUUUAUGCUUAAUGUUGUCCUUCUGCAUGAAGUCUGUUCCAUGAGUUUUAUGUAGGUCUCCUUUGAAGCUGUAGAGGAGAGAAAGUCCUUACUGAAUACUCACAUUUUCGUCUUGUAUUUUCCUUAUUAGAAGUGGGAGGGGAAACUUGUGUGUACUUUAUUUUGUCUUCAAUCACAAAUAAAAUGUUUUCUGUGGACUACUGUUUUUGAACAUCCUCGUAAAAGAUCUACGAGGCCAAUUACUCUAUGUGCCGCUUUGGGGAAUUUGGUGUAGAGAACGAUGGGGUCCAAGUACAGACAGGUGUUACCCAUUUUCAGUCCUCCGUGGAGGGCGGAGUAGUAGGUCGCCUCCCUGAAUUAAUCCCGUUGUCUCCUUCACCCACUUUUUGAUAUCAAAGGCAGAGACUGCAUUUACAACACUGAAGGUUAAAGCUUUUCAGAGAGUAAACAAAUGGAAUAUAUAUAGUGGGCAAUGCUGGCCUCUCUGCCGGUCUGUGUUCAGAAAAACGAUAACAUCUGAACUUAAGAAGCGAGAGGGAGAAAGAUCGGUUGUGUCCAAGAUGGGCGUGCUUCCUGGGAGACUCACCAAAUCCCUGUCGGGUGAUGCCCAAAUUAUCAAAGAAGGACUCAACUCUUGAGAAGACUCACUCACCUAUGGGGGGAACGUCUGCGCCACCCUUUUUCUCAAAGCUCGUCACACACUUCACAUCAUUGCAGUUAAAACGUGACAAGCAAUAUCUUAAAUAUUAAAAACUUUUCUUACUAUUCGCACCAUGCCUCCUGUCCCAUCCCCACCUCUGAAAACCAGGAAGGGUCUUACGUCGGGUCACAAAAGCAAACAGGCGGGCGGGGGGAUGAAGGAAUGGAGUUAAUAGAAUUUGUAACUUUCUCCCCCUGCAAUGUCCAAACAAACUGUGUGAUUUUCUUUCUUGCUAUUCUAGGCUUUUUUUAAUUGCCUCAAGACUAAAGUGGCACCUUCUGGGCUGCUUCAGAAAUUGUCUUCAGGAUUUAAAAAUGAAGCCGAUUCAUAUUCAGCGUCUUCCUGCUCAAAUCUGUUAAGCCAAAAUAAAAAUGACUGCUACUUAAAUUUUGUUUUCCUCGUCGCCGCUACAAACAUUGUCUCACAGGAUUUGCAAGUUCCCGUGGAUGCACAAUUAAAAACUCUUCUUUAGACAAACGGAGAGAGCUGAACCGACACGGCAGGGCUGGGCUGCCAACACCAGUCUUAAGGACUGAAGUCUGUGCGCCUCAAUUGAAUAAAGGGGAAGCUGCUCUCUUGAGCUUGGAGGCUUUUUUUUUUUUUUUUAAGCGAAUUGUUCCAGUUGGCCUUAAUCCCCAAGCAAUAUGGCUCCUCGAAAACCAUCUUUAUUCAUUCACACCAACUGACACUUGAAGAAAUUCCUCCAGCUACUGUUCAUCUAAGUCUAAAUAUAUCUGUUAGAGUUGAAUGCGUUUAAGAGGAUUUGCAAUCUGUGAUUAUCCAAAAUACUAUUCAUUGUCAAUAUUUUUGGUGUGCCAUAGCCAAUCUUGUUAUUAUAAUGUACAUAACUACUUAACGGCAGCAAAGCCCAAAUACAUCCCAGCAAUUGCGAUAACCUGAAGGAGGGCCUCUCUCCAACUCCACGCUCCCCUGCUGGCGCAGCUUGUUGUGUGGUUCUCGACAUCAGAAUUCCUUAAUAAGCUCUUGCUACACCCUUCCAGACCCUUUUGGGUAAUUUCGCCCUCAUGUUCUAAGUAGAGAGCAGUUACCAGGACGACAGAGAAUUUGAGGAAGAUUUAAUUGUGAUCUGAUGUCUAACCAGAAUAAAGAAGCUGGUGCCUUGAAUUUACAUUCUGGGUUCCCAAGCAAAUGUCAGUAUGCAUAUUUAUUAUUUCUGCCCUGCCGCGUUACAAAAAGGAAAUUAAGGUGGCUUGCAAUGUUUUCCUUAAUGUGGGAGAGGACAAGGGGGGUGGUAAAUACUGAAAGGGUAGGAAAAAGAAGCAGCAGCUUGGGAUCCAGAAAACAUUUCAUAAACACCAUAAUCCACGGCUUGCUUUUCUGGAGCUGGCCUCGACAGGACUCAGCUUCCUAGCAGCCGGUGCAAGGACCGAGCAUCCCAUCCGUGAGGCACGGCACCCGUCACAGACAGCACAGGUAUUCCUGGUUCUGAAGCCAGCCAGCCUUACCCCCAUGGGUCCAGCACAUCUGGUGGUGCACAACUCAAACUGGGGUGUGCGCUCCCCUGGGGGCGUGCACGGUGGAAUGAAUGGUGCAUCUUCCGAAGCGCUUCCGUCGGACUUGACGGUAAGAAACUGAAGCUGGUUUGGGAUAACCUUUCUAUUUUGCAAUAACUUGUAGCCCACGAGAUGGCUGGAUCGGUAAUGACUGCCCACAUGUGGGGGCCAUUUGAGCCCAUGAGGACGAAGAAUUUUUUCACCCCUCUCCUCUUGAUCCACAGAUGUUUCAAGCCAAAUUAUUCUCGAGUAGAGGUUUGUCUCUGGGAUUUUGCACCGUCCUUUCUGCUCUCCUGCAUUCGUUACCUGUGUCCUUUCAGGCACCUAUGCUCUCACCAGACCCUAAACCCCCCUUUGGCACCCCCUUAUCCGGGCCAGCCACGUGCUUCUGUUUCCCUUGAUCUUCCUCCCCUCCAUUCCAAAGCGGGAAACGGGGCCGCGCUUUGGGGCAGGUAUCAAAAGCCAGUACGACCAAAUUAGCUCACACCCGUUGUACCUUGUUGAUAAUGUGGUAACUAUUAUAAAUGAAUUUUUACUUAAAAAGACAUGCUGAACUCCCAAUAAUGUAUUAAUCCGAGAACUUUUUUUUGGGGGGGGGGAUAGUAAACUUAAGGGGAAAUCACAUUUUAAAGGGAGAGGAAAAUAACUUGCAGCAAGCGGAGGAGACGUCAGCCUUGCUUGAAUUAUGCUAGCCCUGUCGUCGCAACUCCCUCUAAACUAUUACUGCUUUUCACAGAUUCCUCCCUCCCUCGAGAUUUUUGAUGAAAAUCUCUCCUGUAAAGUGUAUUAAGCUUUGGACAGUCACUGUCCUCCUGAUCACCCAGCACACGAACCAUCUUUCUGUGUUUAGGCGAUUGUCUGUCUUUUGCGCCUUAAUGAGACAAAGAGACUAAAAAUGUCAGAUAUAUGCUUUUACCUGACAUCUUGGGAUGGAGGUACAUGACCCAGGCCAGGUCAUUUUGCCAACUGUGUCCUCGACUUUGACUGGGUCACUAGGAGACCGUAAGAGGCAGAGGUGAUACUGAUCACUUUCUAGUAGCAGGGACAGAUUGGUUUGCACCAAGAUCAAGUUCCUGGUGCAGAGAUGGAGGUGGCCCAGAGAUUAGCAUCCAUUGGUGGGACAGCUGCUGUUUUCUCCCAGACAGACUUUGGAGCAUGAUUUGGAAGCUUUUUCUGUCUGCUUGGGCCCAAGCCUGGUCUCCCGCCUUCUCUAUAAUUCAGUGAGCUACCUAGUACAUUCGUAAUAAAUAAUAAAUCCCCUAUUUGCUGAAAACAGCCAAGAUUGGUUUCUGUUUCUUGCCAUUAAGAACCUAGGCUGAUAUAAAAAGUUCCCCCUAUUUCCAAAGCAAACUGUAUUCAAGUUAGAAACUUAGAAAGAGGAAAACAUAAUUUACCCCAAGCCCAGAUAACCCAAAUAUUGUUAAUGCUUUGGUAAAGCAUUUUUUUCCCCUAAUACUAUUGUAUGCAUCCAUUUCAAGGAAGACUAUGCUUUAGAAAAAUAAUGGUUCAGGAUUUGGGGGGCUACUGUCUUCUUUGUCCAGGGAAUCCAAUAAAUAGGCUUCCUACCCCUGUUUUAAGAGCCUGGGGUUAAGAGGGCUUAAUUGCACUGGACUGUGUGGGCAGGAGUUACUUCUAACCCCCGGAACUAUUGAAAGCAUCACCUACAAAAGGCUGCUGACUCCUUUGCUAUUUGCAAUUUUUUCCUUCUAAUUUUGUCAACGGUGCUUCAACUUUGUUUUUUGGUUUUCUUCUCUCAUUUAGAAGUUGACAUUUCGUAUACAGUCAAAUUUGGCUGUCUUUUGUGGUUUGUAGCAUUAGUGUCAUACCUUCAACAUCCUUGUCCAACAUGCGGGCCUACAUUUUAUCUAGUACUUUUAUGGUAUUACGGUUUACAUUAAACAAAUAAUCCACUUGGAGUUUGUUUUCUGGUGUCGCGUGAGGUACAGAUUCUGUUUAAUUAUUGUUUAUAUUGCUCUCCAGUUUGAUUAAUUCAAUUAUCGUUUAUCUUCAAUUCAGUAAUUUGUGUUUUCUCUGGUUGAUUUCUAAUGGCACCGUGGGAAGGUGCCAAAUUCCUAUCUGGGGCUGGUUUUUGACUCUUCGUUCUAUUUCGUUCAUCUACUUAUCUCUUCCCUCCGCUUCAAUAUCUAUAGGUUCUGUCAAGUUCCAAAUCUCUCUGCAGUUGCUCUUGGGUAAACAAAACCAACCAACCAACCAAACAAACAAACAAACUAAAACCAUCCUGGGUAAAUAGGCAAGGAUUUGGGGGUACCUAUCAAUUGGGGAUGGCCAUUAUGGAAAACACUGUUCUUUCAUGUGGAUGGGGAAUGGGAUGUUCUGGUUAAUGCAGGAUUCUUGUCAAUAAGCAAUUGGAUUGAAGUCAUUUGAUUUUGACUUUGAGAACUCACAAGGCUUGUCAAGACCUUAUAGUAUCUCAGGAUCAUCACCAACACCACAAACACUAAUUAUCAUUAUGCUGUAGAUACACUAAUGUGCUCAUUAACAGAGUCUGAGCAGAAUACUGGAUAAACUAGAAUUGACUAUAGUUUCUUUUCAGAUGCUGGCAGUGAAGUGAGUAUAGGUCCUUGGAGACAGAUGACAAGUUUACCAAUUUGCUAUGUGAAUUACCACAUCCACACUAAGCUGAUGAAUGGACUCUGUGAGUUAGUGCUAUUACAGAAUGCUAAGUAAACAAUCCCAAACAGUUGGUCAGUAAUUUACACAACCAUUUCCCAGGGGAGGGAAAAGUUUCUUUCUAUCCUACUAGGUUCUAAAUAGCUUCCUUGCAGCUAUCAAGAGGACCCACUUGAAUUUCUAUGGCACGCCACGGAAUACCACUGCUUACACUCAGGUCUUUAAUCCGUGAAUGUUCCCCACAUCGGUAGAAUUGACUGUAUUGGAGGAAAACCAAUGAAAACCCACACAUGGGCUGAUAAAUGAGGGAGCCAGGGCAUCUGCACCCUUGGAUCCCAGGCAAACUGGGCCAAGGUCAUUGCUCUCAUAGUCCUAGGCUUGCCUGCCUCCUUGCUCUGUGCAUUUUAUCCCACCGCUGGAAAUAAUCUACUCCAUUUCUUCCUAUUAUAGCCCACCUAACUCUUCAAGGAACAACCCAAAUCCUACUUCCAUGAAGGCUUCCAGGAAUUUCCUUUUGGAAGAGUCUUUCCUUUUAUUCGGAACUCAAAGACAUUCAUAAAACAUUUCCUGAGUACUUGUCAUGUACAGAAAGGCACAAGGCUAGUGGAUGAGGAAUAUAUCAGUUAACUAUGGCUGCUAUAAGAAAUUACUAUAAACACAGUGGCAUAAAACAACAGAAAUGUAUUCUUUCAAAGCUAUGGAAGGCAGAAGUCCCAAAUCAGUUUUACUGGUUUUUUAUCUCCUAAACCAAAUUAUCAACUACUGGGCAACUUAGAAAACUUUGCAUCUCUCCAGCAGUGGCUAUCCCAGCCCAGAAUCUUCCACUUGAAGAAGUGAACAUAUGAACAAAAUAGCCAAUGAAAAUGACCUCUAAGUCAUUUGAUGACUUAGAUGAGUGAACAAAUAAAUAUACUUCAAAAAUAUAUUUACUUUCACACACUGCAUGAACCCAUUUAUGUAACAUUUGCAGAAUGACGAAGUUACAGCGAUGGAGAGCAGAUUAGCGGUUACCAGAGGGGGUUAGUCGUGGGGAGGGUGGCUGUAAAGGAAUAAAUAGCACAAAGGAGGUCUCUGUGGUGAUGGAAUGUUCUGAGUCUUGACUGCAUUGGGAGUUGUAUAGUUACACGGGUCUACACACAUGAUAACAUGACCAGGAUAUACACACAUUGUACCAACAUCAAGUUCCUGGUUUUGAUACUUUACUGUAUUUCUGUAAAGUGUAACCACCAGAGGAAACUAGGUAAAUGGUGAGCAGAACCUCUCUGUAAUGUCUUUAAAACUUUUGGUGACUCUCAAAUGAUUUUACAAUGUAAAGAUCGUAAAAAUAAUUUUGUUCUUGAGAAAAAUAAGCAAUGACUUACAGAAACAUAUAUGACAAAGUAGAAAUAAUUAUGUUAGGAAGCUGAGGGUUAAGAUAAAGCUCAUAACCCACGAAAUCAGCUCUGAGUUCUCUAAAGGCCAAAGAAAAAUUAGUCUGUUAGGGUUUCUGUCCCCCCCCCCCCACCCCCCGAGCUACAUCUCUAAUCCAGAAGACAGUGCCUGUAGGACCCAGGUGAAUCAAAGGGACUUUCUGUCAUUUUGUGUUACAUUGAAAACACUGAUCCAAAUCAGUCCUUUCUCUUCUGCGUCGGGAUCUGAGUGUAUUCAAGAGCUUGGCUGGCCCAAUUUAUGCUGUGGCCAUGAUGGUCAGCAGGAAAAGUCAGAGCCCGUGUUGGGAAAACUAGCACUGUAAGAUCUCCAAAGUGCGAAGCUUGCUGUGAUCCUUCCAAAAUGGCACUGGGUAGGAGAAGAGGUUCACCUCUUGGGGAGAGAAAUUAACUGUAGAUCAAGUGAGGGGUAUCUUUUAAAGAUGAGUGGGCUCAGUUGGAAGUUGGACUUGCUUUUCUGUAGAAAGUCUCUUCGUCUUACUGGACACUAUGUCUUUGGUGAUAUGAUCACAUUAAAUAGUAUCUAUGGGCCCUCCCAGAACAUACUUCAUGAUGAAAACGUAUAUGGUUUUGUGAAAUGUACAGAUGUAAGCAAGAUUUGGUUCUGGCUCCUGGUACACUCCUGAUUAUUGGUGUGACCUCGGAUAAAUAACUCCAGUAUCUAGACCUGAAUGGAAAAAGAGAUGCUUUGAUGAUUACAAAAGUACUUCUCAGCAUAAAAGUUUUAUGAGGGUCUAUUCCUGGAGUGAUUGCUGGUUUGUCUUGGCAUUUGGGCCAAUCAUGCUCUUACUGUUUUCUCUGAAUUAUGGAUUUCAGGUUGCUUUUUCUUUUAUUUUUUCUUCUCUUCUCUUCUCUUCUCUUCUCUUCUCUUCUCUUCUCUUCUCUUCUCUUCUCUUCUCUUUUCCCUUCCCUUCCCUUCCCUUCCCUUCCCUUCCCUUCCCUUCCCUUCCCUUCUCUCUUUUCCUCUUAGAGACUUUAAGUAAUCUCCACACCCAGCAAGGGGCUUGAACUCACAACCUUGAGAUCAAGAGCUUGUGUGCAUUAAUCAGGAGAGGAAAAAUACAGGGCACAAUCAAGCUGCUACGGAGAGAAGAGCUUCUCUCCUGCCUCUACAAAAGUGGCUGGAAGACAAGCCAUAUGAAAGAAGGAGAGAUUAAAGCCGGAAAGUUCAUAGUACUCACCAAGGAAGUAGCAAUUUGAUGCUGGAAGCAGACUCAUUCAAAGAAGUCUCCAUAGUAGCUCAAAGUGGCUCAUCAUUUUAUUUCAACCACUGUGUGCCCAGAACUCUGUUGGAGGGGGGUGGCCCUACAACCUGGGUCACUCGUCCAACAGUUAAAAUGAGAUACUGCUACUUCCCCCUAGAAAUUAUGUAUAUAGUAACAACCAGGGAUUUCAGUUACAGGAACAGUUGUCUGGUUUAAGAAUAAACAUAAUUUACUGAGAAAAAAAUAUAUAAGGAAGCUCAAAGAACCACUGGAAAGAAGGAAAGACAAAGUGUGAAGUCUACACAGCCAAGCCAUGUUGUAGAAUUGGUUCAGUGCGGAUGCCAGCACCAUUACCACUCAGUGCCUGGUGCCGGGGGCGUUGUGACCUAGCUGCUCCUGACUGUGCUAAGUGUGCGGGAGACUGGGAGAGUGGGCACGGGGCACCAUCAGCACCACCUCCUACUGUAAGACUCUUAGGGCGGGAAUGUCCCAAUUGUGGAAAUGGGCUCCAAUUCUGGGAAGCCCAAAAUCCAACAAAGAAAACACAAGUAUCCACCAUUAACUUCCCUUUGGUGUCCAAUACCAUAGCACCCAGUUGUAAUACUAUCAGUCAGUUCCAAGAAUAUCUAAGCCUCGUAAGAUGAGAGAUGCAUGAUCGUGAAACAAAUCAUAUGUGGGCAUGACAGCAGUUAGCCAGAUGGCAGUUCUGAGAGCCCCAUCACAUGACGCACUUGGGUCCAGGUCCUGGCUGCCCUCUGGUGUCAUUUGGGGGCAGGUGUCACCUCCAGCUUCAAUAUCAAGAGCACGAUUCUGGAUUCUGCAGCAAGAAGGGAUUCUAGAACAGUUGCAGUGAUUCUAAAACUCCCCCAGUUGGUUCCCAUUUCAUUGCCUUGAUCUGGAGCGAAUACCAAUGAUGGAAGAUUCUCUCUCUCUCUCUCUCUCCUUUACCGUACAAGGUAGCCUGCUGUUUCUCUGCUCGGCUUCAUUCUCCUUCCUCAGUCCUGCCACAGAAGCAGAAGAUAAGUUAUGCCUGCCCCCAUUAGAGAACAGGGGUCGGGCAGGAGACAGAGUGGUUACUAAUCGUGCUGUGUCCAAGUCUGCAUCGUGAGGUUGUGUACGAUUGUAUAUCAGUAUAUUCCUUCUGCCCACAUUUUUGCUUCAAAAACAAAAUAUGACCAAGCAAAACUUCCCCAGUGGUAACCCUCAUAUGAUCAAACAAACAAAGAAGCAAACAAACAAAAACCCGCAUCCAUCCAUUUGACAAAGGGAGACAAACCAGCGUCUCAUAAAGACUGAAAACGGUUCCAAGUCUAUGUCCUGGGUCUCUGGCGACAUCCUCCUCUUCCAGUCCCAUCACAUUCUUCCCACAAUUCUGUGGCCUGACCUAGACACUAACUUGUAAACUUGACUCCCCGAGUGGGGACAAUGGAGCAAAGACGAGGAAAACGAGUUACAACCCAGAAAUGCGUACACGGACUGGGGGAAAAUAUGGGUGGCUGCUCUAGUCACAGUUUUUGCAAACGGACCCGAGGCCAGAUUCGGUGUUUAUGACUUUUUUUCCUCCACAAAAACAUAAGACUCCCUUUGCCUUCAGCCAGAAUCUCAAUUGGAUUUUUUAACCAGGAAGGGUUUCCUGGAAGGAAGGAACUCUUCCAGAAAGGAAGAGUUUCCUUUCUGAGGGAUCUAAGGAGGAUGAUCCUUUUUCUAGGGACCUGCUUAUCAGUGGUGUGCUGGCUUUACCUUCUCCCACCUUGGGAGAGGAGACUUUUGGCGAUGGAGGGAGUCGUUUGUUAAAAACAGCCAUUAUUAAUGAUCAAAUGAUAUAAAUCCGCAACUAAAUAAAGCAAAUUAAAAACAAUGUAA